rnacentral:misc_RNA from 1 species
AUUUGAUGUUUUACGUGUUUUUUAUUAACAACCCUCGUAUUUGUGUGUUUAUUGAGCGGGUUAUUGUGUUUGUGCUUAUCCGUGUUCGUUUUACGCCUGAAUCUAGUUGUUUAUGUCGCUUUGUUACAUGCGUUUGGUUUUAUAAUUCGCACUGUCAUCCUCCUUUAAAUAUAUUGGUAGCUAUUAGUGGGUAGUUAUUUUGUUUUUAACAAUUAAUUAGCAAUUAUUUUGUAUACGUAGAUCACGCUUAUAUUAAAAGGCUCAAAUUUAUUUUAGU